rnacentral:tRNA from 1 species
AUCCAUUGUCCUCCAGCGGUUAGUAUAUCUGGCUUUCACCCAGGAGACCCGGGUUUGAUUCCCAGCAAUGGAAC